UAGUCUUUCCUGGACUAUCGAAAAGAAAGUAUCGCGGUACGGGGAUGAACUUUCCCUUUUUUGCCCAGUAAACAAAUGUUGUUCUGAAUCCGCUGGAUGGGUGAAAUGGACUUCCAAAGAUGACUAUACUACACUAUUUAUUGAUGUAAAGGAUCUAGAGAUCCAUGCGGGCUCGAAAUAUAAUGGUAAAACAAAUAAAACAGGGAUUUUUUUAGUUAUUCGCAAUGUAACAAGAGAUGACUUGAACACAACGUACUCGUGUACUUACGGAUUUCAUGUGGGGACAAAAAAGACACUACUGGAUAGUAAUGCGUUUAUCGAUAAAGUGAAGAAGCAGUACUGUAGGGAGUCAGAACUACUAGAAAAAACAGAAGAUGAUAGUAGCCAAGAAAGUAAACAUGUUAUUCCAACAGAAUUCGCAAUAGCUUUAUC